CAGAAAUCACUUACCCCACCUUUAAAUGGAUUCUGACACUCCAUGAUAAUUCAAAAUGCAGUUUCAGUUUGUUCCAUUUUCUUACAUUACACCUUAUUUCUUCUUUUCUACAGGUAGACAGAACAGAAAGAUGUACAUACUAUAUGCCGCUCUUGUCCUUUAUGUGUUUAUACUGACGCUGGCUGUAGGAAUUAAAAUCUCUCAGGUCAGCCAAGAUGUCAAUGAUCUUAGACUUUCUCUGAAGACCCUUGAGGCCCCCAAAACUCUGCAAUUUGAAAAUGCUCACUUCUCUGAGCAUGUGAUGCCGGUGCAAGGUGAGGCUCCUCAUGACU